rnacentral:rRNA from 1 species
AUGAACGCUGGCGGCGUGCCUAAUACAUGCAAGUCGCGCGAACGGACGAGAAGCUUGCUUCUCUGAUGUUAGCGGCGGACGGGUGAGUAACACGUGGAUAACCUACCUAUAAGACUGGGAUAACUUCGGGAAACCGGAGCUAAUACCGGAUAAUAUUUUGAACCGCAUGGUUCAAAAGUGAAAGACGGUCUUGCUGUCACUUAUAGAUGGAUCCGCGCUGCAUUAGCUAGUUGGUAAGGUAACGGCUUACCAAGGCAACGAUGCAUAGCCGACCUGAGAGGGUGAUCGGCCACACUGGAACUGAGACACGGUCCAGACUCCUAAGGGAGGCAGCAGUAGGGAAUCUUCCGCAAUGGGCGAAAGCCUGACGGAGCAACGCCGCGUGAGUGAUGAAGGUCUUCGGAUCGUAAAACUCUGUUAUUAGGGAAGAACAUAUGUGUAAGUAACUGUGCACAUCUUGACGGUACCUAAUCAGAAAGCCACGGCUAACUACGUG